GCCAAUUCUGGGUGCAAGCUGAGGAUGGCUCAGCCCACAAAGAGGUAAAAGAUAAUGUCAUUUGGAACAUCAACACAAUGUCUCUUUAAACACGGAGGCCAUCACCCAAUUGAAUAUUACUAGACAUACAAAAAGGGAGAAAGUGUGACUGAUAAUCAAGAGAAAACCAAACAACAGAGACAAACUCAGAGAUUGUGGUAGCCAGCUAGCAAGAUGGUCCCCAAUGAUGCCUGCCUCCUGGUAUUUCAUCCUUGUGUAGUCCUCUCUCACGCUGAAGGGGGCCGACUUUGUAAUCAAUUGAUUACAGCAGAAAUAACAAGUGUGACUUCUAAGAUUAAGUCAUAAAAGACUAUUUAUAGCUUCUACCUUACUGCUUCUUGGAUCAUCCACUCUGGGGGAAGCCAGCUGCCAUGUCGUGAGGAUUCCCAAGCAGCCUCAUGGAAGUUCAUGUAAAGCCUCCUGCCAACAGCCAGCAAGGGACUGAAGAGUCCUGCUCACCGCUUUAGGAGAGCUAUCUCGGAAAUGGAUCCUCUGGUUCCAGCCAAAGAACUUACAUUAAACUCAAAGAAGUCUGUAUACCACCUACCUAUGCUAACCAAUCUAAUCACAAUUCAGAAACGUGAACAAACAACUAAGUAUCACUAGAGAGGACUUCGGGACCUCCUCAAGCUGAAAAAGAAAUUCCAGCAUGAGCAAACAUGAUAACACAUUCUAAAUCAAAAGAUAUCAUUUGGAGGAUAAAACAAUAAAAUUUCAAAGAAAUUC
rnacentral:lncRNA from 1 species